rnacentral:lncRNA from 1 species
GGCAGAGAUUGCAGUGAGCCGAGAUCAUGCCAUUGCACUCCAGCCUGGGCAAUAGAGCGAGAACCAGUCUCAAAAGAAAGAGUUAAUUUUUGAUGUUUAUACCAAAAUAUUUAGCAAUCUCUAAUGUAUUUUGAGAAGGAAUUAUAUUUGUGAAAGAAUAUAGUUUUUCAAAAUGACAUAGAUAUUGUAGGAAAUCGGAAUUUUUAAAACAUGAUUGAAAACAAGAUGAGUUUCACUCAUUAGGGUAAAUGGAAAAUUUCUGAGUAUGAUAUCAGCAAACUCUAAGAUUCUUUUAAAAUAAUUGUGCAAUAGUCAUUUUUCUGGCAGAGUCAAUUCAUUCUUCUGGUUCAAUAUAUUCUAGACAAAUGAAAGAAAAGGAAUGUUGAUCUGUGUUUAUCCUUGUAAUUUUUCUAAGCUUUAUAUACAGUUUUAUAAAUGGGAUGAAUUAUGUGCACGAUACCAUCAAUUCUAAAAACUACCUUUUUAAAAACCUUUUGGAAAUCAGGAUUGCAGUUGAUAACUACCUAAACUCACUUCCAGCCCUAUAAAAAUUACUUUUCCAAACUAAGGAGCAUCACGCAUUAUGCAUUGUCAGCCAAAGUUCUGUAGUGUCAGCGUGAUCAUUCGUUGUGUCUGUAGUGUCAGCGUGAUCAUUCGUUGUGUCUGUAGUGUCAGCGUGAACAUUGUGUCUGUAGUGUCAGCGUGAUCAUUUGUUGUGUCUUUAGUGUCAGCGUGAUCAUUCGUUGUGUCUGUAGUGUCAGCGUGAUCAUUCGUUGUGUCUGUAGUGUCAGCGUGAUCAUUCAUUGUGUCUGUAGUGUCAGCGUCAUCAUUGUGUCUGUAGUGUCAGCGUGAUCAUUUGUUGUGUCUUUAGUGUCAGCGUGAUCAUUCAUUGUGUCUGUAGUGUCAGUGUGAUCAUUCGUUGUGAUCUACAUGCUCAUAUCCCUUUUGUCCACAAAGGAAAUAAUUCGCCUUUAAAUAUUAACAUCAUUUCCCCUAUGCAAUUUUAAGUUUUGAUAAUGAAAUAAAACACAAUGCAGAAUGAUUUUGCUAUAGGUUAGAUGACCACUGUACUUGAUAAUUGAAAAAUGGUUUAUGUUCUUAGACAAGCCAAUGAAGCAAUCUCCUGCUCUUGGAACAAACAAAAACCACAUGAUUAACCUCUCACAAGAUUGACGUGCACUGUGGUGUAGAAAGUUUGUUUGCCUUUCCAUAACCCAGUGUAUCUAAGAAUUACCUCGGAACUUCCAUUUCUAUUAAUAUUACCUACUAACACUUAAGUCUGAGUGUGGUGGCUCAUGCCUGUAAUCCCAGCACUUUGGGUAAGGCCGAGGUGGUCGGAUCACUUGAGGUCAGGAGUUGAAGACCAGCCUGGCCAACAUGGUGAAACCCCAUCUCUACUAAAAAUACAAAAAUGAGCCAGGUGUGGUGGCGCAUGCCUGUAAUCCCAGCUGCUCUGGAGCCUGAGGCAGGAGAAUCACUUGAACCCGGAGCAUAGGCUGCAGUGAGCCGAGAUUGUGCCACUGCAUUCCAGCCUGGGUGACAGAGUGAGACUCUGUCUCAAAAAAAAAAAAAAAAAAAAAAUCGGGACAUGAAACCAUAAGCUGAAAUGCUGCCAAGACCUAAAGGAAUGACCCUCAAACUGGAAUUUCAGCAUUUUGUCAUGUGAUUAAUCCCCGGGAGAAUGCAGUCAGCUCACAUGAUGAUAGGCAAGUAACCACCUUUUUCUGUACUCGUACUACUGUUACUUUUCUACAAAAUGAAAAACCUAAAUGUUUUUUUGUUUUGUUUUGUUUUUUGGGUUUUUUUUGUUGUUGUUGUUGUUUUUGAGACGGAGUUUUGCUCUUGUUGCCCAGGCUGGAGUGCAAUGGUCCGAUCUUGACUCACUGCAACCUCUGCCUCCCAGGUUCAAGCGAUUCUCCUGCCUCAGCCUCCUGAGUAGCUGGGAUUACAGGCACGCAUCACCACGCCUGCCUAAUUUUUUUUAUACUUUUAGUAGAGACAGGGUUUCUCCAUGUUGGUCAGGCUGGUCUCGAACUCUCGACCUCAGGUGAUCCACCUGCCUCGGCCUCCCAAAGUGUUGGGAUUACAGGUGUGCGCCCCCACGCCUGGCCUAAAUGUUUUUAAACUCUCAUCCUGAUCAGUAUUUAGGUUAUAGAUAAUUUUUUAAAACUCUACUUAGAAUAUUGUUUCAGAGGAGUCUGUAAAUAACAAAACUCUAUAAUUGCAGUCAUAGCUGAUGUAUCUAUACUUGGAUCUUUUCCAAAUGCUCUUCUACUCUUGUAAUUUCUAGUCUGGUCAGCUGGAAAUAAAAGUAUCCAGUAACUCCACUUGUCCAUCUAAAAAUAUAAUUAUUUUUUUAACUAACCCAUUAAGUAUUUUUUAUAUGUAUUUAUUAGCCAAUCAUGUUAUUUACUGUGACUUUCCUGUUUGUUUCUUUUGCUCAUUUUCUCAACCUGCUGAUUUAUGAAUACACACACAUACUCUAGAUCUUGAUUCUUCUGUUAUUUUAUAUAUAAUAUCCUUUUCCUGGAGAGUAGCUGUUUAAAGUGCAUUCAUGAUUUUUCUGAUACUGAUAGUUUUCCCACAUACUAUCAUAUUAUAUUUGGAUGUUGCCAUUAUCACUCUAACCAUAAACUGGUAAUCUAUUUAUAUUUUUAAUAGUAUGUGAGAUUUCUGUGUAUUCAGUCAGAUUAUCUAUGAAUGGAAAUGAAUUUUCUUUUAAAAUCAUUAUUAUUUCUUUACUUUUAUUAAAAUAAAUACGAUUAUGUCAAGUAUUGGGGUAAUAGCCAGUGUCUUAGUUGUUUAAACAGUUUAAUGGAAAUCAGUACAAUAUUUUACCAUUCAACUAAUAUUUACUUUGUUGUAUGCAAGUAUGCUCUAUAAUUAGGGCUAACUUCUUAUAUUUUUUCAAAUCCUAUCACUUCUUUUGCUUUGUUCAUAUAUCAUUCUCCUCUGCUAUUUUAAUGUUAUAAUUCAUUCUGAUUUCUUGUUUUAAACCAUUUCUGAAAUAUAAUAUGCUUAGCUGUGGUAUAUUAUUGUUUUGAUAAGCUGCUUAAUUUAUCUUAUGAAUAUUUUGUUUGGGAUUUUUGUCCAAAUAUUCAAAAUUGAUAUUAAUAUUAUUAGCAUUCAUAUAUUAACAUUCAAAAUUAAGAAUUUUUUAAAUUUUUGUUAUUGCCAUUAUUUGUUUAUUAAAGGUUAGAUAAAAUUUGGCUUUAAACCCAU